GAGAAGGAUAUGGUCCAGAUAAUUUAAGAGGAGGUAAAUUGGCAGUGGAGAAAGACAUUAAUCCAUUACAAAGGACAAGAGUUCAAGAAGGUUGCCUGAAAAACAUGUCUGCCUACAUCCAGAUUGAUUUAUCCAGAAGGAAGCAUCUUGAGAAGACGAGACUUCAGUGUGCAGUUCAAGGGCAGGAGAGUACUUUGCUGCUGGCCUAUAUGAACACCCGCCGCUGCACCAGCCAACAAGGGAGUGAAUCCAAAGCGCUAUUUCCUGUAUAUUUCCACCCACUUGUUCAAGGAGGGGAGGAAGUGUACAUGAUGGACCCCUUGAUGGCCUGGAACCAAGGUUCUCAGACUGCAUGCCCAAGCAGGGGAUUGUAAGUUCCAAUUUAGCCCAAUAAUAAGAAAAAAUCCACCCCUCAUUAGUAAGAAUAACAAUGACAGGAGUACUGCAGACUGUGACACACUCAGUGCAACUCAGGUAUCAUUUUCGCCAGUGUAUGUUUGUGAAAUUAUUUAAAACUUCUGUAGACUUAAUAAAAAGAAGGUUAGCUAUUGGUUUCCCAAAUCCCCUUGGUUGCCUUCCCAUCAACAGACA